GUUCCUCCACAAGUCAUUCCUCUCCUCUUUGCUCCCACCAACCACACUUCAACUUUAUCCCUUAUUACAGAACCCCUUUCUACCUUUACCCAACAAACCCAGAAAUACUUCACCCUACCAUUUACGUUAUUCUCUCAACCCAUCUGUCAUCAUCCCUAGAGAUACCAAGCAGAGGAAGAACAACACCACCCACAUACAACGCAAUAUAUAAUAAGAAUUAACAUAGAAUACCAAACACUACAUACACAAGAUAAUUCUAAAUUACUCCCCUUACCUGGUCUCAUAUGAUUUUUGUUUCCAAGAGCACCAAGAAAGCUUCACAACGUCACCAAUGGUCCUUCCAUUUUUUAUACCC
rnacentral:lncRNA from 1 species